GAAAAUCUACAAAGAAUCAUAUAUAUAGUGAAUAGUGCAUCAUUACAUGUGCUAUUCACUAUAUCAAACCUACAUAAGUAUAUUCACAUGAUCACAACAUCAAGGGGGGUUACAUGAGGGGUAGACCUCAUGUCUAUGUGCAUGGCACAUCACCACAUCAUCACUAGCAACAAGCACAACAAGUAAUAUAACUCCUAUAUACUAACAAGAGAGUAUGCACACCCUCACAUAUGGGCAUGUGAUGGUGCACACUCACACAUGCACCACAAGGGACACCCCUUAGUGCCUUGACACUCUCAAGCUACACACCACACAUGAAUCCACAGAAGCAUGCAUACAACUCCACCUACAUCACAUACUAAACAUAGCAUGCACCACUAGUGCAACACACACACAAAUAUGUGGUGAGGGGGGAAACCACCCACACACAUACACAAACUCCACUAAAUCUGAAAAGAUGCAUAGCACAAGAACUACCAGUGCAGCCACAUAAUCAAGCUAAGCUUGCAAUCCUACUAGCAUAAAAAACCUACACAAGCUCUACUAAAUACAUCUACAUACAAACACAAUGCAACAACAUGGAUUCAUAGCUAGCGACACACAAAACACCCAUGCAGAUUAUGAGAGGGGGUAAAUCACAAACUACAUGUGCAAAAAUACUACAGAACUACAAAGAACAUGGGGCUGCAUAUAUAACAAACAGCAAAGGGAAAAAAAUAAAA
rnacentral:lncRNA from 1 species